AAAUGCGAUAACUAGUGUGAAUUGCAGAAUUCCGUGAAUCAUCGAGUCUUUGAACGCACAUUGCGCCCCCUGGUAUUCCGGGGGGCAUGCCUGUCCGAGCGUCAUUGCUGCCCAUCAAGCACGGCUUGUGUGUUGGGUCGUCGUCCCCUCUCCGGGGGGGACGGGCCCCAAAGGCAGCGGCGGCACCGCGUCCGAUCCUCGAGCGUAUGAGGCUUUGUCACCCGCUCUGUAGGCCCGGCCGGCGCUUGCCGAACGCAAAUCAAUCUUUUUCCAGGUUGACCUCGGAUCAGGUAGGGAUACCCGCUGAACUUAAGC
rnacentral:misc_RNA from 1 species